UACGGAGGGUGCAAGCGUUGUCCGGAAUCACUGGGCGUAAAGGGUGCGUAGGCGGUCGGGUAAGUCUGGCGUGAAAUCUCCAAGCCUAACUUGGAAACUGCGUUGGAUACUAUCCGGCUCGAGGAAUGGAGGGGAGACUGGAAUACUUGGUGUAGCAGUGAAAUGCGUAGAUAUCAGGUGGAACACCAGUGGCGAAGGCGAGUCUCUGGACAUUUCCUGACGCUGAGGCACGAAAGCCAGGGGAGCAAACGGG
rnacentral:rRNA from 1 species